GGUGAGAAUCCCGUACGUGACCGGCCGUCAACCCCAUGUGAGGCUCCUUCUACGAGUCGAGUUGUUUGGGAAUGCAGCUCUAAAUGGGUGGUAAAUUUCAUCUAARGCUAAAUACCGGCCAGAGACCGAUAGCGCACAAGUAGAGUGAUCGAAAGAUGAAAAGCACUUUGGAAAGAGAGUCAAACAGUACGUGAAAUUGUUGAAAGGGAAGCGCUUGCAACCAGACUUGUUCACGGGUGAUCAGCCCUCCUUCGGGACGGUGUAUCCUCUCCCGCGAUCAGGCCAGCAUCGGUUCGGGUGGCCAGAUAAAGGCGUCGGGAACGUGGCUCCCCCUGGGGAGUGUUAUAGCCCGAGAGUCCAUGUGGCCCACCGGGACCGAGGACCGCGCUCCGGCUAGGAUGCUGGCGUAAUGGUUGUCAGCGACCCGUCUUGAAACACGGACCAAGGAGUCUAACAUCUAUGCGAGUGUUUGGGCGUCAAACCCAUACGCGUAAUGAAAGUGAACGGAGUUGGGAACCCUGGCGGGGGCACCAUCGACCGAUCCUGAUGUCUUCGGAUGGAUUUGAGUACGAGCAUAGCUGUUGGGACCCGAAAGAUGGUGAACUAUGCGUGUGUAGGGUGAAGCCAGGGGAAACCCUGGUGGAGGCUCGCAGCGGUUCUGACGUGCAAAUCGAUCGUCAAACAUGCGUAUAGGGGCGAAAGACUAAUCGAACCAUCUAGUAGCUGGUUCCU
rnacentral:rRNA from 1 species